GCUGAGGAAAAGAAAAUAACUAUGAUUCCCUUAGUAACGGCGAGUGAACAGGGAAAAGCCCAAAUUUGUAAUCUGGCACUUUUUACGAGUGUCCGAGUUGUAAUUUGUAGAAUCGUUAUCCGCGCUGGACCAUGUACAAGUCUGUUGAAAAGCAGCAUCAUUGAAGGUGAAAAUCCUGUAGAUGAUAUGGACUACCAGUGCAUUUGUGAUACGGUUUCUAAGAGUCGAGUUGUUUGGGAAUGCAGCUCAAAGUGGGUGGUAAAUUCCAUCUAAGGCUAAAUAUAAGUGAGAGACCGAUAGCAAACAAGUACCGUGAGGGAAAGAUGAAAAGAACUUUGAAAAUAGAGUUAACAGUACGUGAAAUUGCUGAAAGGGAAACGUUUGAAGUUAGUAUUGUAUUCGUUGGAUCAGCUUCGCAAGGAGUGUAUUCUGAUGAUAAGCAAGUCAACAUCAAUCUUUGGGUGUUGGAUAAGGGUUUUGAGGACGUAGCAAUUUAAUUGUGUUAUAACUUGAGACUUGGAUACAAUGCUUGGGAUUGAGGAACGCGUAGUAAGCUUUGUGCGGAUCAGCGAUGAUCUCCUUACUAUGGAUGUUGGUGAAAUAUCUUUAAGCGACCCGUCU
rnacentral:rRNA from 1 species